UUCUAUCCAAAGAACCAGAAUAGAACAUUGAAGAGUUCGAGCGUGUUUUCACGAGAAAUUUUCGGUCCGACGUUUAUUCGAAAUGAUUUUCGAGUAAUGAUCGAAUUCCAUCCUUAUCAUUUUCAAAAUCAUAUUAAAUAAUGUGAUCUGCUUUUGGUGCGGUUCUCGUUGGUGCGAUUCGGUGCGCUGACGAGAUCUUCACUAAGACGGACAUCCUGAUAUCGCAAACACCACCAAGGCGUUCGCUCGGAGGUCGCGAACUUCACCAAGUUCAGAGAAGUUCGGUGCACGGAGGACGUGCAGUUCGUCCUCCGUGCCGUCAGAUUGGAUUUCCGCACCAUCCGAGUGUUCGCUGCACCUGAAACCCAGUGUUAAAUAAUGAAAAGAGUUUAGUAAUAAAAAUCAUAUAAUCGAAUUCUUCGAAGUUUUUCUCUUUUCUUUUCUAUCUUUGUUUCUUAUUUGUUGUGGGUAUUGGUUUAUUUUUUUAGAGAAUAACAAGAGUUAGGCCUCGAGAAGAUAUCAAGAAUCACUACUAGAUUACUGACUUUUAGCGACGGUUAGAAAUCAUUAACGAAAAAGCCGUCUCUAAGCCAUCAUCGAUAGCAUCGUGGAAUUUUCACGAAAUCAUUUUUCAGAUUUAGAGACGACCAAAAUUCGUGUUAAAUCCGUCAUUAAAGUCUGUUUACUUGUAGUGAAUGAUUGUGAUAAUAAGCAUGGAUUGUUUAAGACAUAGGCAAGUCAUUAGGAUGCUUUUUUUGGAUUAACAUGCUUAAAUGAACUAUAGCUAAUUAAGAAGCUUAAAUAUGCAUUAACAGCAACGGGUAAUGUGAGUGUUAAUUUUAACAAAAGAAACACCAAAGGAAAUACGAUAUCUUUUCUCUUCUCAAUCAACUUUACGGUCAAUUUUUCAAUUCCAUUUAAAUUCGAAAGUUUUUUGUUAUUAAAAAUGUAUUCUAACAGUUUAUCUUUAAGAUCUUUAAUGUCAGCAGUAGAAAAAUCCAUAAGAUAAAAUUUCGUUAAAUUCAGUACAUUUGGAUUAUCAUAAGAACGAAAUCCAUUAUCGAACAUCAAAAAAAACUCAUUUAAUGUUGGUUUAGUAAUUUAGUAAAGAA
rnacentral:lncRNA from 1 species